AUGGAUAGAAAGAAUCUUCAUAUACUUCUAAUUCUACUUUUCUUGCUCAUAUAUUUUGUUGGUGCUACCUAUUGUUCUAGACACACUCAAGCUUUUUAUGUGAAGAAAGAGUCCCAAGGUUUACAUCAAAAUUUCUUAGAUUCUUUGCCAAAAGCAAUACCAAAGCCACCUUCAGGUCCUUCAAGGGAGCAUAAUGGUAUUGAAUUACACAACUCAAAGAAGAAACCAUAG